UUGCUACUCCCUUCGUCCGGAAAUACUUGUCAUCAAAAUGGAUAAAAGGGGAUGUAUCUAGAUGUAUUUUAGUUCUAGAUACAUCUCUUUUUAUCCAUUUUGAUGACAAGUAUUUUCGGGCGGAGGGAGUACAUU
rnacentral:pre_miRNA from 1 species